GACGAACGCUGGCGGCGUGCUUAACACAUGCAAGUCGAACGGAAAGGCCCUGCUUUUGUGGGGUGCUCGAGUGGCGAACGGGUGAGUAACACGUGAGUAACCUGCCCUUGACUUUGGGAUAACUUCAGGAAACUGGGGCUAAUAUCGGAUAGGAGCUCCUGCUGCAUGGUGGGGGUUGGAAAGUUUCGGCGGUUGGGGAUGGACUCGCGGCUUAUCAGCUUGUUGGUGGGGUAGUGGCUUACCAAGGCUUUGACGGGUAGCCGGCCUGAGAGGGUGACCGGCCACAUUGGGACUGAGGUACGGCCCAGACUGCAACGGGGGGCAGCGGUGGGGAAUAUUGCACAAUGGGCGGAAGCCGGAUGCAGCGGCGCCGCGUGCGGAAUGAAGGCCUGCGGGUUGUAAACCGCUUUCGCCUGUGACGAAGCGUGAGUGACGGUAAUGGGUAAAGAAGCACCGGCUAACUACGUG
rnacentral:rRNA from 1 species